AAAUAUUAUGUUCUCUGAGUUUCUAUCCCUCAAUCCCAUUUUCUAUUUUUUUAUUAUAACUCUUAUUAUUUUAGUAACUUAUUAUAUUAUCAUUAUUUUCUUAAUAAUAAUAAUACUAAUAAUAAUACUAAUAAUAAUAAUAAUCCACUCAAUUAAAUUAAUUAAAUUAAUAUUCAUCUAAUAUUAAUUAAUUAACUAAAUAAUAAUUAAUUAGGUUUACUCACCACACCAUAUUUUCUACACUUUUGCUCACAC
rnacentral:lncRNA from 1 species